GACCGACAGGUGAGCUCAGAGACAGGUAGACAGGUAGAGAGACCGACAGGUGAGCUCAGAGACAGGUGAGCAGAGAGACAGGUGAGCAGGUGAGCAGACAGACAGGUAUUUACCCCAGUCAGUAACCAGAGGUGCUUUCAGGCUGGCGUGCUCCACCACACAGGAGAUCUUCUCUCCAGACCUGCUGACACAAACCAACACAUCAGUGUUCCUGUCACA